rnacentral:rRNA from 1 species
GACAUAGGUGGCGAACGUUAUCCGGAAUUAUUGGGCGUAAAGGGUGCGUAGAUUGUAUGGUAAGUUACUGGUGGCAAAUCGAGGCUCAACCUCGUGGAAGUCAGUAAUACUGCUAUGCUAGAGUUCAGGAGAGGUUAACGGAACUCCAUGUGGAGCGGUAAAAUGCGUAGAUAUAUGGAAGAACGCCAAUAACGGCGAAGGCAGUUAACUAUUCUGUUACUGACGUUGAGGCACGAAAGCGUGGGGAGCAAAAAGGAUUAGAUACCCUUGUAGUCCACGCCCUAAACGAUGAGUACUAGGUAUUGGGCAUUAAAUGCUCAGUGCUGCUAGUUAACACGGUAAGUACUCCGCCUGGGUAGUACGCUCGCAAGAGUGAA